CCUACGGGUGGCAGCAGUGAGGAAUAUUGGGCAAUGGAGGCAACUCUGACCCAGCAAUGCCGCGUGAGUGAAGAAGGUUUUCGGAUUGUAAAGCUCUUUCGGCUGUGACGAUGAUGACGGUAGCAGCCAACGAAGCCCCGGCUAACUUCGUGCCAGCAGCCGCGGUAAUACGAAGGGGGCAAGCGUUGUGCGGAUUUACUGGGCGGAAAGGGAGUGUAGGCGGGGUGGUAAGAUAGUGGUGAAAUCCCAGGGCUUAACUUUGGAAUUGCCAUUAUAACUAUUAGACUAGAAUUGCAGAGAGGCGAGUGGACUACCCAGUGUAGAGGUGAAAUUCGUAGAUAUUGGGUAGAACACCAGUGGCGCGGGCGACUCGCUGGCUGGACAUUGACGCUGAGGCUCGAAAGCAUGGGGAUCAAACAGGAUUAGAUACCCGGGUAGUC
rnacentral:rRNA from 1 species